rnacentral:lncRNA from 1 species
UCAUAAAUCACACUUGAAAUGAUAGCUAAAGGGAGACAGCAGACGAAAUCACCUCGCCUCAAGUACUAAACAGCCUCCUCAAUUACAAUUCUUCAAAGUGAUAAUUAUUUUUAUGCUUUUUUCCAAUUGCAUUUAAAGUAAAAUGUAAUUAUUCAAUUCCUUUUGUUUCAAAGUGAAAGUCUUUCAAGAUAUUUACACCUGAAUGAAGAAAAUGUCGUAAUAAUUGAAAUUGUAUUUUUAAAACGCCCUCAGGCAGACGGACAUGAAACCUGGCAUUAGUCAUAAAUGGCAGGUCAAGAAAAGAAAGGCUAAGGGCAGAAAUGAUCACAAACAAUGAGCCAAAAUCUUUUAUUUUACUAAUUGGUUCUGUUUACUUUACACAUAUUUCUUGUUGCUUUUGUUUGUUUUUUUUUGUUUUUUUUGCCAAAGAUUGCCAGAGGCACACAGAUUCCAUGAUGCAGAAGCAUUUUCACUCGGCUGCACAACAGACGACGGUCCGACAUCCCCCCUGCUGAACAAAUGACUCAUUGAUUCCUGAGACCCUUGUACGAUGAGACGAACAUGAAUAGCGAUGACGAUCAAAGCAGACGAAAAAACAAGGUCGUUGCGGAUCUGCUGUUUCAGCACCAUGCUGUGUUUCUUGCCAGCCUCCAGCUCACAGAUCUUCUCUCCCCUAAUAAGGUAGCGAGAGACACAGGCACCGAGUGGGAUAUUUAUAUAUAUACAUCAGGUGUGUCAGUGUGUGUAUGUGUAUACGUAUGGCCGUAAAUGAGGGGCCCAGAUGGAAGCGGCACACAACAGCAGCCGCAUCGUUGGCAGGAAACAUGUAAUAUUCAUAUAGAUAUAUACACAUACACGGAUGGUCGAUAAAUUCCCGAGCCAACGUGUGACGCAAGUUGGACAACACCUUGGCCGUUAACCAUGGCUCAAAAACAAACACAACAGCCUUGCCAGUUUUUUUUUUCUUCCUUUUUACCUAGUUCAAAUGAUUACAAAAAAAAAAAACUAAUAAAUACAACAAAUGACUUGAUUUGA